GAGUGCAGCCAUGCUGGAUUGAAUGCAUCUAGUUUCAUUUGAUCUUGGAAGUUAAGCAGCCCUGGGCCUAGCUAACACUUUGAUGGGAAGUCAUGUUAAAAUCCCAGGUACUGUAGAGG
ensembl:rRNA 5S_rRNA 5S ribosomal RNA